rnacentral:rRNA from 1 species
AUUGAACGCUGGCGGCAGGCCUAACACAUGCAAGUCGAGCGGAUGAAGGGAGCUUGCUCCUGGAUUCAGCGGCGGACGGGUGAGUAAUGCCUAGGAAUCUGCCUGGUAGUGGGGGAUAACGUCCGGAAACGGGCGCUAAUACCGCAUACGUCCUGAGGGAGAAAGUGGGGGAUCUUCGGACCUCACGCUAUCAGAUGAGCCUAAGUCGGAUUAGCUAGUUGGUGGGGUAAAGGCCUACCAAGGCGACGAUCCGUAGCUGGUCUGAGAGGAUGAUCAGUCACACUGGAACUGAGACACGGUCCAGACUCCUACGGGAGGCAGCAGUGGGGAAUAUUGGACAAUGGGCGAAAGCCUGAUCCAGCCAUGCCGCGUGUGUGAAGAAGGUCUUCGGAUUGUAAAGCACUUUAGGUUGGGAGGAAGGGCAGUAAGUUAAUACCUUGCUGUUUUGACGUUACCAACAGAAUAAGCACCGGCUAACUUCGUG